rnacentral:rRNA from 1 species
AUUGAACGCUGGCGGCAGGCUUAACACAUGCAAGUCGAGCGGGGUGAUGGUGCUUGCACUAUCACUUAGCGGCGGACGGGUGAGUAAUGCUUAGGAAUCUGCCUAUUAGGGGGGGACAACAUCUCGAAAGGGAUGCUAAUACCGCAUACGUCCUACGGGAGAAAGCAGGGGAUCACUUGUGACCUUGCGCUAAUAGAUGAGCCUAAGUCGGAUUAGCUAGUUGGUGGGGUAAAGGCCUACCAAGGCGACGAUCUGUAGCGGGUCUGAGAGGAUGAUCCGCCACACUGGGACUGAGACACGGCCCAGACUCCUACGGGAGGCAGCAGUGGGGAAUAUUGGACAAUGGGGGGAACCCUGAUCCAGCCAUGCCGCGUGUGUGAAGAAGGCUUUAUGGUUGUAAAGCACUUUAAGCGAGGAGGAGGCUCUUUUGGUUAAUACCCAAGAUGAGUGGACGUUACUCGCAGAAUAAGCACCGGCUAACUCUGUGCCAGCCGCCGCAGUAG